UACGGGGGGGGCAAGCGUUGUUCGGAAUUACUGGGCGUAAAGGGCGUGUAGGUGGCCAACUAAGUCCGACGUGAAAUCCCCAGGCUUAACCUGGGAACUGCGUCGGAUACUGGAUGGCUUGAAUUCGGGAGAGGGAUGCAGAAUUCCAGGUGUAGCGGUGAAAUGCGUAGAUAUCUGGAGGAAUACCGGUGGCGAAGGCGGCAUCCUGGACCGAGAUUGACGCUGAGGAGCGAAAGCUAGGGGAGCAAACGGG
rnacentral:rRNA from 1 species